GCGCCGCUGCCUGUUUGUUCUCCCAGUGUUUUAGAGACGGUGACAGCAUCGGAGAAGUAUCCCGGCGGGCCGGGCUCGCGAGCGUGUCUGCCUCCUGUGCCUGGGGAGAGUCCGGGCCAGAGGGGGCGUCGCACGGCAGAGGGGAACGCGGGCACCGAGAUCCAGGGCGCCUCCCUCCGCCCGGCCGGCUGGGGUGCGGAGGCGGGGCCGGGGCGGGUCCCGCGGUUGACGAGUCGGAGCGAGAGCGGGGCAGCCCCGGCGCCGGGCCGCGCCCCGCGCGAGCCUCAGCAAAGCCUCAGCAAUGCUCGAGCCGGGGGGGCGGAGGCCGGCCGCCCCUCGGGCCCCGAGGAGACGCUGAAGGUCGCCGCCAGGAAGUGAGCGCCCGGUCACCUGACCCCCGGGGCGCACCUAGGCGGGGCGGAGCCCAUGCGAGGCUGGCUGCCGGGGCCGGGGCCGGGACCGGGGCUCUGGCAGCGCGGAGCGCGUGGAGCCCGGGCGGCGGGGGCGCGCGGCUGGCGGGCGGGCGAGGGCGCGGCCGGGCACCAUCGGUGGCCUCGCCAUGUCCCAGCCCGCGGAGAGGAUGCAUUGCCGGAAGGCGGGGAUCCGCGCCGCUGUGGUGCUCAUCGGACUCCUGCACAAAUCCCGAAAACAGAAUAAAGAAAAAAGGAAGCAGGAGCUGGCCAACAGCUCGGAUGUGACCCUCCCAGACCAGCCACUGUCCCCUCCACUCACUGCACCCCCCACCAUGAAGUCUGCGGAGUUCUUCGAGAUGCUGGAGAAAAUGCAGGGGAUCAAGCUUGAAGAGCAGAGGCCAGGACCCCAGAAGAACAAGGAUGACUAUAUUCCGUACCCCAGCAUUGAUGAGGUUGUGGAGAAGGGGGGCCCAUACCCUCUGAUCAUCCUGCCCCAGUUUGGGGGCUAUUGGAUUGAGGACCCAGAGAACGUGGGCACUCCGACAUCACUGGGCAGCAGCAUCUGUGAGGAGGAGGAAGAGGACGGCUUCAGCCCCAACACAUUUGGCUAUAAGCUUGAGUGCAAGGCUGAGGCCAGAGCCUACCGCAGGCACUUCCUGGGGAAGGAUCAUCUAAACUUUUACUGUACUGGCAGCAGCCUGGGGAACUUGAUCCUGUCCAUCAAGUGCGAGGAAGUGGAGGGGAUUGAGUACCUUCGGAUCAUUCUCAGGUCCAAACUGAAGACAGUGCAUGAGCGGAUCCCCUUGGCUGGACUAAGCAAGUUGCCCAGUGUCCCGCAGAUUGCAAAGGCCUUCUGUGAUGAUGCUGUGGGGCUGAAAUUCAGCCCUGUCCUGUACCCUAAGGCCUCUCAAAUGAUUGUGUCCUAUGAUGAGCAUGACGUCAACAACACAUUCAAAUUUGGGGUCAUUUAUCAGAAAGCCAGGCAGACACUAGAGGAGGAACUAUUUUGGAACAAUGAAGAGAGCCCAGCUUUCAAGGAGUUCUUGGACCUGCUGGGGGACACAAUCACACUGCAGGACUUUAAAGGUUUCCGAGGAGGCCUGGAUGUGACCCACGGACAGACAGGGGUGGAGUCAGUGUACACGACAUUUCGAGACCGGGAGAUCAUGUUUCACGUCUCCACAAAGCUGCCCUUCACUGAGGGCGAUAUCCAGCAGCUCCAGCGAAAGAGACACAUUGGGAAUGACAUUGUGGCCAUCAUCUUCCAAGAAGAAAACACUCCAUUUGUCCCAGAUAUGAUUGCCUCCAAUUUCUUACAUGCCUACAUAGUUGUGCAAGUUGAGAGCCCAGGCACAGAGAUUCCAUCCUACAAGGUCUCUGUCACUGCUCGAGAAGAUGUGCCUGCCUUCGGUCCCCCUCUGCCCAACCCCCCUGUUUUCCAGAAGGGCCCGGAGUUCAGGGAGUUUCUGCUCACCAAGCUCACCAAUGCGGAGAAUGCUUGCUGCAAGUCGGACAAGUUUGCCAAGCUGGAGGACCGGACCAGGGCCGCCCUCCUGGACAACCUUCAUGAUGAGCUGCACAUGCACACACAGGCCAUGCUAGGACUGGGCCCCGAGGAGGACAAGUUUGAGAAUGGGGGUCACGGGGGCUUUCUGGAGUCUUUUAAGAGGGCCAUCCGUGUGCGCAGCCACUCCAUGGAAACCAUGGUAGGCAGCCAGAGGAAGCUGCACAGCGGAAGCAUCCCUGGCAGCCUCAGUGGGGGCAUCGUUCACAACAGCAUGGAAGUCACCAAGACUACCUUCUCGCCUCCGGUGGCAGUGGUGACAGUGAAGAACCAGUCUAGGAGCCCCAUCAAGCGGCGGUCGGGGCUGUUUCCUCGCCUGCACACAGGCUCUGAAGGCCAGGGGGACAGCCGGACACGAUGUGACAGUGCAUCCAGCACCCCCAAGACUCCAGAUGGUGCACACUCUUCUCAGGAGAUAAAGUCUGAGACCUCAUCCAAUCCCAGCUCUCCAGAAAUUUGCCCCAACAAGGAGAAGCCCUUCAUAAAGUUGAAGGAGAAUGGCCGGGCCAACAUCUCCCGCUCCUCCUCCAGCACCAGCAGCUUCAGCAGCACUGCAGGGGAGGGCGAGGCCAUAGAGGAGUGUGACAGUGGGCCAGCCGUCCACAACCUCACCUUUCAAGCAGGACGUGUUUUUCUACAGCCAGUCCCCCAGCAGCGAGAGCCCCAGCCUGGGGGCAGCCGCCACCCCCAUCAUCAUGAGUCGGAGUCCCACAGAUGCCAAAAGCAGAAAUUCCCCGAGAUCAAACCUGAAAUUCCGCUUUGAUAAGCUCAGCCACGCCAGCUCCAGUGCGGGUCACUAAUGUGAAUGAAGAAUUCUUCUCCUAUCCAAGGGAAGCCCCGAUUCUGUCCUGCAGAAGGCUCCUAUUCCAGCAGUUUGGGGGUGCCAUCCACUACUCUGAUCGUGACAGGCCCACCGGACCAGCUGUCUGUCCUGUGUCCUGACCUGGUCACAGUGCUGCUGGGCUCUUCACCAACACACCUUCAUUUCUGGACAAGACCUUAUUCCUGGAGGCUCCCUUGCUCCUGACCUCCCAAUGUGGUGUCUGUCUGGGUCAUUUGCCAACUUGUUUUGUUUGUAGGAAAGACAGUUGGGGAAAUGGGGCUCUAAGUAUGGGGCUCAGCCAGAGAUAGGGGAGCUCAUCUGCUUCAGAGGCAGAGAGAGUGGUGAGGUGGGGAGCAGAGAAGACCGCAGAACAUAAGAUGGCCCCCAUCUGUCCUUGGUCACAGUGCAGUGCCCUCCUGAGUAUGGUAGGAAGGAGCUUUACCACCACCCAUGAGUGGAGUAGAGGUGUAGGGGCUGCUUCCCCAGAGCCAAAAUUUGUAGCAUCCUUGAGGCUGUCCUGAUAAAAACAGCUCUUUUGUUCCUGUAUCUCUGGAGCUCCACAAACACCUCCCUGGCCUGUGCUAAGUACUUUGGACCCAUCUGUUGGCACUGGCUGAGGGCUGCUCCAUUCCCGCUGUCAGUGCGCCUUGAGCCAGGCUUCAGCAAGUGGAAUCUCCAAGACAGAGCAGAUGUGUUUGGGACCAGUGCUUUACACUUCCUUGACUGUAGCUGGAACUUUCUGUCCUGCUUAAUUUCAUGCAGGUUCUGAUUAUCCUCGCUAUGGAAGAAGCCGCAGGCAAUCAUUCCUUUUUGAGCAGAUAAUUUUUUCCCCUUGAAGGAGGGGGAAGCCAGGAAUGAGAAGGAAUUCAGGGAAAAAGAAUGAGCCAGUGGUGGGGCAAUCAUUGGUUGAUAACCUCAGGGCCCAAGGGCUCAGCCGGGGUCUGUGGGAUCCAUAUUUCUGAUGCUCAUAGAGGUUCAAGGAGGACGUAAAUGAUGAUUUAAACCACCCAUUUAUAAGAGAGGGAAAGGGGUAGCAGGGGAUGGCUUGGCAGGUUCUAGGCAAGCCAAUGUGUAGGGGUUGAACUUAGGUGUGCGAGGAGGAACAUAACGUCCCUUGGUGAUCAUGCACCUCCCUGCCCUUUGCUGGGGAGUGGACAGCAUUGCCUUGGGGGCUUCUUCUGGCUGUCAGGGGCUCCAUCCCUCAGUCUUUCUCUUCCCUCUCCAAAUGAAGGUAUCUAGGCGGUUGUCACAUCAGUAGGAUUCCUGCAAGCCAGGCCCCAUCUAGCUGUGGUUCAGAUACUGCAUGCUGCCUGCACCCCUCCCCAGUGCCACCUUCUCUGGGAUGAUGAGCCAGUUUGUUCUGGAGAGCAGCCCUGCUGGCUCUUCACCUGUCCAAGUCUGCAGGGAGUUUCUGCUGCUAGGUUUAGGGUGGGGUGUCUGCCAAGUAAAACACAAGAGCCUGAACAGCAGACCUUUGGAGGUUUUCCAGCCUCAAGUGCAUAUGGGCCUUUGGGACAGGCCUGCUGGGGUUAUGCAGGCUAGGCUCCCUCCUUUAAUGAACAGAUGACAAGAUUUCCAAUCAAGUGCUUUUAUCUGUAACAGGGAUCUGGACUAACAAGCCAAAGCAUAGAAAUGGGACACAUUUUUUGGACUGACGUUGUGUGACUAUUUCUCCAUUGCUUUUUCCAUUAGGGCAAACCUUUGAUAUUUUUGUUCCUUAUUUUCAUAUUGGAUCCUAUUUACAGCCUGGGGGCAUCCCCCCUUCACCCUAUUUGAAAAAUGUGGUUACAUACAAUACUAGUUUGGUAAGAUUUAUUCUGGUUAGAAGGUCAACAAAAUGUCUGUUUAGCUUUUAUUAAAAGUCAGUGUAGCGGCACCCAUUGCUAGACUGAGGCCUGUGGAUUCUGGCAGCGUUCUGUUGGCUGAGUUUCUGAAGGAACUUGAAAGGUCAAACUGUAUUUUCUUUGAAAACUCUUACAGGAUUCUGGCUCACCUCUUUGAGUAGCCAGUAUUUACAGAUGCUUGGUGGUUGUGCUGUGUUGCACUAUAGUCUGGAGUCCUCUGGGGUUUCCAAGCUGUUCUCAUGCUGUCAUAUUGGGGAACCUCAUAUUUUCCUGUCAGCACUGCUCUGGCUGCUCCCUCUGCAGUCCCCACCUCCUGGCAGUGCCUCCAGGCCAUUGGGCAGGAUGGCAGGGUAUGUCCAGAGGAACCAGGAGGCACAAGUGUGCCUCCACAGAGGUGCAGAGCACUCUGUGUUCUACUGUUGGGGUGCUCAGGGCAGGGUCUGAUAUGCCCCCUCCCUCUGGGUCAUGCCUCACCAUCUCAAGAAAGCCCAUCCUGUGGUUUCCAGUGUGUGCACCAUCAGUCUGCCUGGGGUCCCCAUGCUGAGGGGGAAGAGGAGCAGGAUGGGGUCCUUUCUCCCUUCAUUCUUCUGGGCUGUGGGCAGCGUUUCAAGUUCCUGGAGGGCUUCGACCCCCAUAGUCUGACUCCCAGUGUCUUUCCUUGUAUUGUUGUACUUAGUCUUAGGGCCCAGACCUGUGUAGAUGGUGCUCAUAGUGAUAUUUGGGGCAUUUCCAAUGUGACCUUCAUCAGGAGUUCAUAUCUCUACCCCUGAGGCCACCUGACUCACUGCAGAAACUAUACUUUCCAGGCACCGUGGGGCACACAGAUGCUUCUAGCUCCGUUGAUGUUUAAAAGAAGAUGCAGAAAAGCUUGAGAUGGAAGGUCUUAGCCAGAGUUUGUGUCUGUGGUAAUGAAUGUCAAACAGUGUUUCCUGGAACAUACUCAGCUUUGUGGGGAUCAUCUUGAUGCUCAAGCCUUCUGGCUCCUUUUAGCAUCUUAUCCAGCCAUGCUGAUGUCUAGAUGAGAAACCUUAGCUCCAGUGAGGGCAAAGAACCUGCUUGAGGUCACACAGCUAGCUAGUGGAAGCUAGGACUAGAACCCACAACCCAAGGCUCUUAUCUCUGCACCAGCUACAUGGUUGGUAGAGCAAGUAGCUGCAUUUCCUAGGCCUGGGUCCCUUCCUCAUUGGCUGGGCCCUCAGCUCUGGCUGGGAGAGGCAAGCAGUGGACGUGUGCUGAUGGGACCUGUCUGCGGUUUUCCGGGGUGAGGGAGCUCUUAGAUUGGUCACCAAGGGUCCCACAUUUGGGAUGCAGCUCGAGCAAAGAAAACAGGGAGGGAAAGGGAUUCUGACAAACUGUUCCUUAGUUCUUCAGGGUCAGAGGCCAGGGCAAAGGUGCAGCCAGCCACUCUUGGCUUCUUUGUUCUAAAAUAUGAUGGAAGGCAGUAAAAGGAAACUAUUCAUUUCUCCCUGGUUACCCCCACCCCCCACCCCCUUGUGGUGCUGGGGACGGACCUCAGGUCCUCAUGCAUGCUAGACAAGGGCUCUACCACUGAGCUACACCCCAGCCCUUCUUGAUUCAGAAAUGAAGGUGGUUGAUAAAAGUGGGACAUAGCCUGUUUCUCUUUCCUUACCCUGGACCCUUGAAGGUGCCAGCUCAAACACUACCUUUUUCAUUGUAUCUUAGUGAGUAGAGACUGAUCUGUUGUGGGGGAGUAGUUGGGGGUUCAAGUAGAUCUUACGACUCCAGGGGCUGGCAGGGAGCAGGCCAGGCUACCAUGCCGAGAACCUCACGGCUCCUUCCCCAGACUCCAGCUACCCCUUGAUCAAAGCCAAGGGCUGCUCAAUGAAGUUUGCCACGCUGUUCCUGCAGUCUGGUGAGGGGCAGUGAGGGGCAUUUUUCUUUCAAGCCCUGGAAUCUGAUUUGCCAUUAGCUGUUUUCCCACCCCAACCUCACAUCCCUCUCUUUUCAGAGGGGCCAGGUGCCCCCUUGGGAAGAAGUCCCUAGGGUGAAGGGCAGCAGAGCCCUAUCUAGUGAGGCUAGCAGGCAGUGGCUCUGUCCUUUGUCUUAGCAGCCCUGGGGAAAGGUGUUUGGCUGUCAGACUGGAAUUUAAUUGUCACCGUCUUUGAUUUUGUGACAUUUCUGCUUGAAAGGGUGAAACCCCCCUUCCCACUCCUUAGCAUGUGUGCCAACUCUCCCUUGUUAGCUCAGGGAGUGCUGAUGUCUCCAUGUGAAGAGAUUCCGGUGUGAUAGAACCUAAGGAGUUUAUGUUGGAAGUGAUCCCCGUGACGAUGACUUUUCCUUCUUUCCUCUUAGUGAGGAGGUGAAUUGUAGACCCUGACUGCCUAUGUAAUGUAAAUAGUGUACAUUUAAUUUAUUGCUAUGGUGGCACAUUGUAUUUGUUAAUGUAUAAAACAAAUUCUAAGAGGUUGAGAAAUGUAUAUUUUGUUGCUUAAAUGUGUCUUUGCAGAAAUUGACAUUAAAUAACAUAUUUUGUGUCCA